AGUGGAUGGGGAGCAACCUAGUUGUGCGUGUGUAAAGGUAGUGCCAAGAAAAGCGAUGAUCAUGUAGAAAAUCAAUUCCCGGUACCCGAAACCGACACAGGUGGGCAAGUAGAGAAUACUAAGGGGCGCGAGGUAACUCUCUCCAAGGAACUCGGCAAAAUGACCCCGUAACUUAGGGAGAAGGGGUGCCACCGAGAGGUGGUCGCAGUGAAGAGGCCCAGGCGACUGUUUAGCAAAAACAUAGGUCUCUGCAAACUCGAAAGAGGAGGUAUAGGGGCUGACGCCUGCCCAGUGCCGGAAGGUUAAAGAAGUUGGUCAGUUUUAGGAUGAAGCUAGCGACUGAAGCCCCGGUGAACGGCGGCCGUAACUAUAACGGUCCUAAGGUAGCGAAAUUCCUUGUCGGGUAAGUUCCGACCCGCACGAAAGGCGUAACGAUCUGGGCGCUGUCUCGGAGAGAGGCUCGGCGAAAUAGGAUUGUCUGUGAAGAUACGGACUACCUGCAUUUGGACAGAAAGACCCUAUGAAGCUUUACUAUAGCUUGGAAUUGUGUUCGGGCUUCCUGUGCGCAGUAUAGGUGGGAGGCGUAGAAGGUAUUCUUGUGGGGAUACUGGAGCCAACGGUGAGAUACCACUCUCAGGAGGCUAGAAUUCUAACUUAAUUAAGGACAGUUUCAGGUGGGUAGUUUGACUGGGGCGGUCGCCUCCAAAAAGGUAACGGAGGCGUACAAAGGUUCCCUCAGACUGGUUGGAAAUCAGUCGAAGAGUGCAAAGGCAGAAGGGAGCUUGACUGCGAGAAGUACAGUUCGAGCAGGGUGGAAACACGGUCUUAGUGAUCCGACGGUGCUGUGUGGAAGGGCCGUCGCUCAACGGAUAAAAGUUACUCUAGGAUAACAGGCUGAUCUCCCCCAAGAGUUCACAUCGACGGGGAGGUUUGGCACCUCGAUGUCGGCUCAUCGCAACCUGGGGCGGAAGUACGUCCCAAGGGUUGGGCUGUUCGCCCAUUAAAGCGGUACGUGAGCUGGGUUCAGAACGUCGUGAGACAGUUCGGUCCAUAUCCGAUGUAGGCGUGAGAAUAUUGAGAGGAGCCUUCCUUAGUACGAGAGGACCGGGAAGGACGCACCGCUGGUGUACCUGUUAUGAUGCCAAUUGUAAACGCAGGGUAGCCAAGUGCGGAGAGGAUAACCGCUGAAAGCAUCUAAGUGGGAAGCCCACCUCAAGAUGAGUAUUCUGGUGUAAGGUCACGGGAAGACGACCCGUAAAUAGGCACGAGGUAGAAGUGUAGAGAUGUAUGAAGCCGAAGUGUACUAAUAGACCGUCGGCUUGACC
rnacentral:rRNA from 1 species